rnacentral:rRNA from 1 species
UACGAAGGGUGCAAGCGUUGUUCGGAUUUAUUGGGCGUAAAGCGCGCGUAGGCGGACCUGCAAGUCAGAUGUGAAAUCUCGGGGCUCAACCUCGAAACUGCGUCUGAAACUACAGGUCUAGAAUCUUGGAGGGGGAAGGGGAAUUUCACAUGUAGGGGUAAAAUCCGUAGAUAUGUGAAGGAACACCAGAGGCGAAGGCGCCUUCCUGGACAAGUAUUGACGCUGAGGCGCGAAAGCGUGGGGAU